GGUGGGGGGAGCCCUGAUCCUUGAAACUUAAUAUUAAAUGUCAGUUAUCAAAUCUACACUAUUUCCCUCCCUUUUGGCUACUAAUAAAUAAGGACAAGAAGGAAUUAACUUUAACUUCUAAUGUUAUUUGCUUGAAUCCAGAGGAAAUGAAAUCUUCAGAUAUAGUUCAAUAUUUCUACAAAAAAUUCCACAAAUGACAGAAAUCAAGUAAGACAAAUACUCCUCUUUAUAAAUUUAGUAUAAACCUGCCGAGAAAUAAGGACUACAUAAUUAAGUCCACUGGAAAUGUGAUCAAUAUGUAUAUUAAAUACACUUUUACUCAAAAUUAUGAUGACUGAGAACAGAUCAGCUGCCUUGGGGUUACAGAUGAGGUGUGACUAGAAAGGAAUAGCUUGAGGGAGUCUU
rnacentral:lncRNA from 1 species